rnacentral:rRNA from 1 species
GUCAUUGAGCACCGCUUAAGAAGAAUGACAAGCGUGACCAAAAAUCAGUUUGGUUUCAUGCCUAGGAGGUCGACCAUGGAAGCCAUUUUCUUGGUACGACAACUUAUGGAGAGAUAUAGGGAGCAAAAGAAGGACUUGCAUAUGGUGUUCAUUGACUUGGAGAAGGCCUAUGAUAAGAUACCUCAGAAUGUCAUGUGGUGGGCCUUGGAGAAACACAAAGUCCCAGCAAUGUACAUUACCCUCAUCAAGGACAUGUACAAUAAUGUUGUGACAAGUUUUCGAACAAGUGAUGUCGACACUGAUGACUUCCCGAUUAAGAUAGGACUGCAUCAGGGGUCAACUUUGAGCCCUUAUCUUUUUGCAUUGGUGAUGGAUGAGGUCACAAGGGAUAUACAAGGAGAUAUCCCAUGGUGGAUGCUCUUUGCGGAUGAUGUGGUGCUAGUUGACGAUAGUCGGACGGGGGUAAAUAGGAAGUUAGAGUUAUGGAGACAAACCUUGGAAUCAAAAAGGUUUAGGCUUAGUAGAACUAAAACCGAGUACAUGAUGUGCGGCUUCAGUACUACUAGGUGUGAGGAGGAGGAGGUUAGCCUUGAUGGCCAGGUGGUACCUCGGAAGGACACCUUUCGGUAUUUGGGGUCAAUGUUGCAGGAGGAUGGGGGUAUUGAUGAAGAUGCGAACCAUCGAAUCAAAGUCGGAUGGAUGAAGUGGCGCCAAGCUUCUGACAUUCUCUGUGACAAGAGAGUGCCACAAAAGCUAAAAGGUAAGUUCUACAGGACGGCGGUUCUACCCUCAAUAUUGUAUGGCGCUGAGUGUUGGCCGACUAAAAGGCGACAUGUU